rnacentral:tRNA from 1 species
UGCGCUGUGGUGGAGGGGUUACCAUGCGAGGCCCAUAACCUCGCGGGCCCGGUUCGAGUCCGGGCGGCGCAA